rnacentral:lncRNA from 1 species
GGUGUUAUCUCACUCUGUCACCCAGGCUGGAGUACAGUGGCAUGAUCUUGAAUCACUGCAACCUCCGCCUCCCGGGUUCAAGCAAUUCUCCCGCCUCAGCCUCCUGAGUAGCUGGGAUUACAGGCGCCUGCCACCACGCCUGGCCAAAAGUGCUGGGAUUACAGUCCAUGCCUGCAUAAGUAUUAAUACUUGUUUUGCACCAGAGCGUGGAGACUGCAUUGUAUCAAAGGGCUUUUGGGAGACCAGAAGGAUGGAAAAGGAAAAUCUGGAUAUUUUAGCUCUGCUGAUUGGCUGCCCUGGCAACAGACCAAAUGACUCCAAAAAUAACUCUCCAGCUCUGACCCGUCUCCUGAACUUCAGAUGCAUCUGUCCGUGUGCCUACUUAACAGCUCCACUUUGAUGACGAACCAACAUUAUAUUUAACAUGUUUAAAAUGGAACUGUUAAUUCAGUUCCAUUCCACCACCAAACCCAUCCCUCCACCUGUCUUCCUCAUCUCAUCCAUUGCUCAACCUUGUCAUGAAGUCAUCUCCAAUCCUCCCUCUCCAUUGCCUUUCACAUUCAGUCCCCAAGCAAGUCCUGUCACUUCCAAUUUUAGGCUCACCUCCCGUUAGUCAAUUUCUCUCCAUCUCUGCUGGCACCACCUAGCUUAGAUUACCCAUUGACUCUGGGUUUACUGCAAUAACCUCACAUCUGAAUUUUCUGAUUAUUUGCUUUCCCCUUGUCUACUUGCUCCACGGAAGUCAUUGUGAUUUCUUAAAAUGUAAAUCUUGUAUUUGCUUGGUGUAAUUUGCAAUCUGGGCAGUGAGACAUCUGAGAGUCUCUACCUCUGCAAUGUCGUCCCAUUGUUUAAAUAAAUCCCAAAGUCUCCACUGUGACCAGUAUCCCUGUGUAAUCUGUCUCCUGCCCAUACCUCCAGCAUUGUCCCAUGUCCCAUUGCUCACACUCUCCAGCCCCACUGGUUCCCUACCAUUUCCUGAACCUUCCAUGCUCCUUCAUACCUUAAAGUUUGGCAUAAUAGGUUCCCUCCAACAAGAAGGUAUUUCCCAGGCUCUUUGAAACUUCCAGAUGUCAGCCCAAAUGUUCCUGUUUCAGAAAGGCUACUAGCUUACCAUUCUGUCUAGCUAGCAGCACUUCAUUAUUAACUCUGUGAAGAUCUCUAUCCUAGCAAUCCCCAUUAUUUGUG